UACGUAGGGGGCAAGCGUUGUCCGGAUUUACUGGGCGUAAAGAGCGCGUAGGCGGACGUUUAAGUGUGGCCUGAAAGCCCCCGGCUCAACCGGGGAUCCGGGUUGCAAACUGGACGUCUUGAGGGGGAUAGGGGAAGGUGGAAUUCCUGGUGUAGCGGUGAAAUGCGUAGAUAUCGGGAGGAACACCUGUGGCGAAAGCGGCGCACUGGACCACAACUGACGCUGAGGCGCGAAAGCUAGGGGAGCAAACAGG
rnacentral:rRNA from 1 species